GGUCUGACGCGUGAAGAGGCUGCGCUUACCAAAAGCUUGCUAUCGAGCAACUGCAGAAGCCACCAAGCAAGCAAGAGGAAGCGAACGUUUGAUACAAUGAAAUUUAGACCUAGUAAGCUGUAGAUUUGACCAAAAAAAAAACAUCUUCAUGAAUCUAAUUUAAAAUGUGCUUUGGCUCUCAGUCGAUACAUUAUUAUCGUCCAUAGCCGAGUAUCCACGACACAUUAGAAAUAUCACCAAAAGAGCGAGGAUGUUGGUCCCCGCGGGAAGAUAAUGAAGAGGUUGCGCGAUUUGUUGGUGUGCCUCAUUGUUGCUCUUCUGUGCUGAAAGAAUUCUGUGAGGACCGGUUCUUUGAGUGUAACAUCAGUUGACUUGAGACACAUACAAGAGGAGAGGACAUAUACAAGGCCAUGAAGGAGAUGUCGAGAAAGGGGG
ensembl:lncRNA